rnacentral:lncRNA from 1 species
AGGUGAGGGGGGCGGGGCCGGCGCGACCGGCGGGGCGGGGCGGACACUCCCACCGCGCACCUGCUUCUGCCUGACGUGUACCCGGAAGGUCGUCAGCUCAGGCUCCAAAUAUGUAACAGUGAGUUUCUAAGUGAGUCACACGGACGCGGUUGGUUUCCAGUGAGGCAUAACUCAUCGCUUCACUCUUCUCAACGGUUCCCUCUUCGGAAGGAAGCGCAGUCCGCAGCGUCGUCCGAGGGCGUGAUCGCCUGCGUCGCACCCGCGUCUCCAGUGGCCACCCCUUGUCCUACAGGAACGCGCAUCUGCUUAGCAGGCGCUGAGCCCUUGAGGAGGCCUAAAAUGAAUGAACGCGGCUGUGCCUCCUGAGCAGGCUCACAGUUGUGGGUGGGGGACAGAAGGGUGUCCAUGCCUAAGGUCGACGGCGAUAAGACAGACGUUCUUCCCAGGAGGAGAUCAGUUCCAGAACAGGUGGAGAGGUAUGAAGAACGAGGAACACUGCCCGGGGAGUUUCUUCCUCUGCAAAAUAAGGGAGUGUGUACUGAAUUACCGUUUCCAGCUCCAACAUCCAGGAUUUCAGCACUACCUGCAGAGUAGUGGGAGGAGAGAUAGCUCCUGAGGUUGACCAGAUGCCCCUAGCAGCUCUGGGCUGCACCUUUGUGUCCAAGUCUUGGUUCCAGGAAGAACUCUGAGCAGAUUGCUCCUGUUGGCUGGUGCAGUUGGCUGGUGUUCCUGUUGGCAGGUGGCAUAGCACAAGAUUGGGCUGCCAGAAUGAGGAAGAAGUGAAGAUAAGAAACCACUCGAAGCCGGUGUCUGGUGCUGGGACCGUGGUGGCUGGGACGGCAGCAGUCGUGCUGUCCAUCUGCUCUUCCGAGGGGUGGCACAUCCUAGCCUCUAUCUUUUCCCCAGAGAAGAUCCCCCUCGUCUGCUCUUCCCCCGUCUCAGCCUUUUAGUGUGUGAACAGUUCUGGUGUUACUCAGCAACGCUUUUGUUAGCGCCUUUACCAGCAAGUACUUGUUAAACACUUAAAUCUUACAAGUGGAAAGAAAAUUCCGUGGUAAAUUUAAGUACAAAAGUCAACCAAAAUUCUGAGUCUCGGACAAGACUGGUUAAAAAUCGUUCUACAAUGAAACUAAUAAAUUAAAUCAUAUAAAACUUU